UCUAAAAUGGCAGAUCAGUGCCUAAGAUUUAAGCUCUUAUUAGGAAAAUUUAAUUUUCUUUUAGAA
rnacentral:tRNA from 1 species